rnacentral:lncRNA from 1 species
GUAACACUCACCGCGAGGCUCCGCGGCUUCAUUCUUGAAUUCAUUUUCAGUGAACCUUCAGAGAAUGAUGGGCAGGUUUUCCCUUGGCCCCCACAGUUUUGGCACUGUGAGCAGGAUACCAAAACCACUCUGUUCUUCUGGAAGCCACAGCCCAGGGAACCUAGGAUCUGAGAAGUUCACAAAAGGACACACUUCCUGCCACUGCUGAGAACUGACUGGUGAGUGGAUGAGGCAAACAUCUUCCCAGGUCAUGAGGGGAAAGGCUGCUGACUUAGCUUGUGUUGAAGUCUGAAUGGAAGCCAUUUAUGGAUAUGCAAAGAGGAAUGGAUAAUUGAUGAAGCAUGGUAACAAAGAUUAUUUUCAUCUGAGUACAAAGAUAAAGGUUGCCAUAGCCAUUGGAGAUCACACCAUGACUUGCUUCCCGACCACCUGGAUUUUAUGUGAAGUCACAUGUUCUUAGAAAAACAGACUUUUAAGACACUCUUCUGCGAUCUGACAUUUUCAAGUCUGUUGGGCUCAACAUGCAAGAACGAGAUCAGCCUACAGUACAGACUGGGAUGUACCCUCAGAUCCCUGAGCUGGAAGGAGAAGGGGCAAGAGAGGAUUGGGGUCCAGAGCCAAAGAGGACUGAGGGAGACAAAGGCAGCUGAGACAAAAUGACCCAUUAUCAGAAGCCCUACGUAAAGCCAAGAAACAAGCCAGACUAAAUCCCCAGCAACUGCAUUGAAGCCAGCAGAAGAAGUGCAAUCAGGUGGCUUGGCAGGAGCAGCAUCCACUUUUUCUUGGGCAUUCUUUUCACAGUGUAG